GUUAGCCCUGGACCAAGUCUGGAGAUGGCCAUACAAGGUAAGACCGUCCAUAGGGCGGCGCCAUCUCCACCAAAAGGGCUUGGUCUUAGGGUGGAGGC
ncrna:unclassified sequences DTF1874 RNA